UACGUAGGGGGCAAGCGUUGUCCGGAAUCAUUGGGCGUAAAGAGCGUGUAGGCGGCCCGGUAAGUCCGCUGUGAAAGUCCAGGGCUCAACCCUGGGAUGCCGGUGGAUACUGUCGGGCUCGAGUCCGGAAGAGGAGUGUGGAAUUCCUGGUGUAGCGGUGAAAUGCGCAGAUAUCGGGAGGAACACCUAUGGCGAAGGCAGCUCGCUGGGACGUUACUGACGCUGAGGAGCGAAAGCGUGGGGAGCGAACAGG
rnacentral:rRNA from 1 species